UUGGUUAGCAAUGCGAAUGACACACGACAGAACCUGUCUUCUUCUGUGGUUCCUCAGCGUUUUCAUCAUUUUUUUCCUUGUGGAUUGUUCCCUGCAUUUGAGUUCGCUUGGACCCAGGAUCAAGGCAAACUCCUCGCUCUGAUCUGGAUAUGGCAAUAGACAUUCUGAUGGAGCAGUGAAACAGGACGCAGGAGGAUAUAAUACUCUCACUGUAUAAAAGGCUCCCACCAUGAGUCUGUCACUUUAAGAGCCUUUUGCUCAUUUGCAUUUACGUCACGUUCCUUUUUCCCAUCGUUCCCUUUUCCCAUCGUUCCUUUUCCCUAUGUGUGGAGCUCGUGUUCGGUCGUGGUCGCGUCGGGUCCUAGUUCAGCAGCACUCAAGCGUUUGAGUGACUGAGCAGAAGUAAGUUGAGCUUCACUCAUGUUAAGCACCGUGUUGUACGGAUGCACAUGUUGCACAGGUCGUUGUUUAUAUGUGUCCGUAACGCUUGUCCCAGAGUCCGAGUUGCGUGUAGUUCUAUGUCGGUCACUAGAUGUCGCCGUUGGGCCGUUUAUGGAUCUGUGUUGCUUGUGUUGUAUGUGGACUUAGAGACGCCUGCAUCUUUGUUCAGUAGUUAGUAACCUGACGUGAAUUGUGAUUUCCUUUAUUACAGAAACUAAUAUUGAUGCUGUACUGAGUGCUGCAAAUAAACACCUCUGAAUCAGGACCAUCCUCCUCCUCUCUUCGACCUCCUCCGGUAUUCUAAUCGAUACCCCAUCUUGAACUGCUGUAGCACCUAAUUGAACCCGUGCAAUCACUCCUGUUUAUUUGGUCCUUCGAGCCGGAUACAGCGUCCAAGAUGGACUCAGAUGGAGAGAUCCACCCUGUCGUCAGACCUCGGCGACGAACACGUCCUCCUGUCAGACUUCUAGACUUUGAAGUGGAGUAUGCAGGCAUCCCUCACAGUGGACAGAAGGGAUUAACAUCAUCAACCACCAGAGAAGAUUUAUCGCGUACCAUGCCCCGCUAUUCAGACCAAGCCCCCUACAGUGGACUUUCAGGGCUUGCGGCUCAACCAGAGACCCCUCGACGAACCCCCGGUCAUCUCCAGGGAAGCGACUGGCACUGUCCCGAUAACCCUUCACCUUCCUACUCAAGUCAGGAGCCCUACUACUCCGAGAUGAGAGCCAUCCAAGAGGAGAAUGCUCGACUUAUGCAACAACAACAAGUUUUUCAGUCCGGCAUGAGAGCACUGGACGAGGCGCGGUGCGAGAUUAAAGAGCUCCUCCAGUUGGCCUGUUCCUUGAAAGCAGACAUUGGUCAAGCUGCUAGUCGAGCUCCAUCACGCAUAGGUCGGGAGCCAAGACCUGUCGUCGUUGGUUGCCAAACCUAUAGUGCAACAGAUGAAGACGAGGAAGAGAACUGGCCUGAUCCUCCACCCUGGCCCUCAGCGGAGACUGACCUUUAUGACAGUAUUCACAACCUUCAGCUUGAUCAACGACAACAUGCUGGUCCAAUCUACUACGCGGACAACGCUGCUGCCUACCCUCCUCCCCCUCCACCGCUGGUGAAACCAGGCCAACCAGAUCACUCCCAUGCUUCGGGACCCUUUCCCCGAAGACAACCGACUUUCUCACAGCCACGGCUUAUUCCCUCCUACCCAGGCCGCACACGCCCCACGUCUACAUCAGCCUAUCAGCUUCCAGAAGUCUAUGCAACGUCACCCAACCCGGGUCGUCAUGUGCCUGAGCAGGUAUAUAGAGGCCCACAGCCGACCAUCCCAAAGUUCCUGCACCCUGACCCAAGUGAGUUUGCGAGGCUUCGCAUAGCUUUGGAAAACCUCCUGCCAGUCGAUGCUACUGAACUCUUUAAGUACCAAGUACUGGUUGAUCAUUUAAAGUUCGAUGAAGCCAAACUCAUAGCGGAUGCUUAUUUAAACUCACCAACCCCCUACACUCACACAAUGAUGGCCCUACAUGACAAGUUUGGCCAACCUCAUCACCUGGCUCUACGAAAAAUAGCUAGCGUAUUAGAGGCCCCUGAAGUUAGGCGGGGAGAUGCCGCAGCAUUCCAAAGGUUUUCACUUCAAAUCCAGUCAUUGGUAGGCCUGUUGCAGACCCUGGGACCUGAAGGUGAAAUUGAACUGAACUGUGGCUCACAUGUAGCUCGAUUGCUGAGCAAACUACCUCCAGAACAGCGAGCUGACUUUCGUAGACACCAGGGCAAGCAACCAAGAGCUGGACAUACAUUGUAUGAGCUAUCCGAGUGGCUCCGUUAUGAGUCAUGGUGUCAAGGAUUCGAUAAUCAGCUCGGGGGAAGAGGAAGCCGAGAUCGAAGCUAUGCUAAGAGUGAGAGCCCCAAGAAACAAACAACUACAAUCCUGCAUGGUGCUGAAGAGCCACCAGUGCCCCCCAUACAGCCAGGUAAAGAGAGUCCAGUGAAGAACCAAACUAAGACAAAAGCCUACUGUGCUUACUGUGAGAGCAAGGAGCAUUAUUUCAGUCAAUGCAGUGACGUCGCCAAGCUUUCCAAAGAUCAACUGAAAGAAUGGAUCCAGGCUAAUAAUCGGUGCUGGCGAUGUGCUCGGCAACACCAAGCAGCACAGUGCACAUUGAAGAAAGCCUGCAACAUUUGCCAGAAGAAACACCUAUUGGCCCUUCACGAAAUAAAUACAAGAGCAACAAGUGGGAGCAUGAAUACUGCAGUUAGAGAAGAAGCCUGCCUAACUAGUUCCACCUCAGAUGCCCUCUACCUUGACCGUCAUGGAACUGGGAACAGAGUCCUAUUGAAAGUUGUGCCAGUGCUCGUACAGUAUGGGAAGCGAACUCUGGAGACCUUUGCCAUUCUAGAUGACGGGUCAGAGAGAACUAUGCUUCUCCCUGCUGCAGCUAAGUUCCUUGAUAUGAAGGGCCUUCCUGAAGAUCUCCCACUGCGGACAGUACGUCAGGACAUCCAGGUGCUCCAUGGCCAUAAGGUGUCUUUCAGCGUCUCCCCAGCUACCAACCCUGAGAACAGAUACAACAUUGCAGGAGCGUUCACAGCUAGCCGUCUCAGCCUGGCUCAGCACAGCUAUCCUGUUGAUCGCCUGCAGAGGAGGUUUCGACACCUCAGAGGGCUUCCCAUUCCAGCUUUGAAGGGAGCCCAGCCCUCCCUUCUCAUUGGAUCAGAUCAGCCUCAUCUUAUCACCCCUGUGGAGCCUGUCCGGCUUGGACCGCCUGGGGGUCCAGCAGCUAUCCACACAAGACUCGGGUGGACCCUCCAGGGUCCUGUGAGAAGCACGGGGCGGCUCACUGACGAAACCCAGUGUCUCUUCAUAUCCUCACCAUCGACUGGCGAUGAAUUGUUCAAGCACGUCAAAAGGCUUUGGGAGAUAGAUACAGUCCCCUACCGAAACGAGAAAGAGGCUACUCGUUCAAAGCAAGAUAAGCUGGCUGUUGCGGUGCUUGAGACCAAGACUGCCCGGACCAAGGUGGAUGGAAUUUCGAGGUAUGCCACCCCAUUGUUGCGCCAUCCCAACAUGCCACAGCUCAGUGCUCCAACUGAUUCAGUCAUGCCGCUGUUGCGUAGCACCGAGAGACGUCUCCGUAAGAACCCUAUUCAAGCUAAAGCCUAUAAGGUGGAGAUGCAAAGGCUCAUCGACUCUGGCAUUGUGCAAGAAGUGGCUCCUGAAACCAUUCCACCAAAAGAAUGUUGGUAUAUUCCUCACCACCUUGUCAGCCACAAUGGAAAAAAUCGCCUUGUGUUUAACUGUUCACACCAAUACUUGGGACAGACCCUUAACCAAUACCUUCUUCCUGGACCUACUCUUGGCGCUUCCCUGCUCGGAGUCCUGCUAAGGUUCCGUGAAUAUCCUGUGGCGGUUAGUGGAGACAUCAAAGGAAUGUUCCACCAGGUUCGACUCCUACCUGAAGAUCGACCACUGUUGCGGUUCCUGUGGCGUGACCUAAAUGGGGAUGAAGCUCCCAAGGUAUAUGAGUGGCAAGUCCUUCCAUUUGGCACCACAUGUAGCCCAUGCUGUGCCACUUACGCCCUGCAGAGUCACGUUGCAGCCAACAGCCAGCCAGGUGAUAAGCUGAGAUUUUCAGUUGAAAAGUGUUUCUAUGUGGACAACUGCCUGCAGAGUGUGUGCACUCCUGAUGAAGCAAAACUUUUAGUUGAUCAGCUCAGAGAACUUCUGGCCCCCGCCGGUUUUGAUCUGCGACAAUGGGCCUGCAACAAUCCAGAUGCCCUGAGUCACCUACCUCAUGAAGCCAGGUCAGAGAGCCUUGACCUGUGGCUUAUGCAGGACAAGUCAAACCCCCUCGAGUCAACACUUGGCCUCAGUUGGAACUGGAGCACGGACACCCUGAGUUAUAAACAUCGGCCAGUGACCUAUGAGAUACCUACCUUGAGGAACAUCUAUCGAGUUCUUGCCUCUCAAUAUGACCCUUUAGGCCUCCUACUGCCCUUCUCUACUCGGGCCAAGCUCAUCAUUCGGCAGCUAUGGGACAAGCAGCGCAGCUGGGAUGAUCCCAAUCUACCUCCCGAGCUCCUACAGGCCUGGUCAAACUGGGAGGCCGAACUGCAGUCCCUACCUCACCUAUCCUUCCCACGACCAUAUAUGCCUAAGGACAUCCAGCUAGAGGGUGCUACUCACGAGAUCCACAUUUUUGCAGAUGCCUCUGAGCAGGUCUACGGAGCAGUUGCCUACCUCAGGACACAAAGCCCUUCUGUAGGGACCUGCUUGUCAUUCAUCAUGGCUCGAUCAAGAGUGGCCCCCAAGCGUAUCCAAUCCAUUCCACGCCUAGAACUCUGUGCAGCCCUGGUGGGUGCCAAAUUAGCCUAUCUCAUUGAGAAAGAACUCACCCUGAAUCUGGACCGCAUUGUAUUGUGGUCAGACUCCACAACUGUUUUGACCUGGUUACAAUCUCAGUCCUGCCGGUACAAGGCCUUUGUAGGGGUGAGAGUAGCAGAGAUACAGGAGUUAACUGAGAAGUGCACUUGGCGCUAUGUUGAGUCCGAGAAUAACCCAGCCGAUGACCUGACUAGGGGGAAGACCCUAGCAUCUCUGGUAGAGCCAAAUAGAUGGGUUUGUGGACCUACCUUCCUCCUCCAAAGCCCUGAACAUUGGCCUGAGCAACCUUCCCUGGCAUCAGCCGAAGAGGAAACCGAGCUCCGAAAGGUCACUCACUGUGGACUAACAGCUACUUCACCCCCUCUUACAGGUGACAAGGUGCACAACACAUGGCAGGAGCUCAUAGAUGCCACUGUACAAGACAUGUACCAGUCAGAGACAUGUAGUCCUUCCCUGAUCGCAGAGCAUUACCACCAAGCGGAGAAUCAGGUCCUUAGACUAGCCCAACAACAGUCCUUUCCUGAAGACUACAAGCUCCUAGCAGCAGGCAAGCCCGUCUCAGCGGGGAGUCGCUUGCUCACCCUCUCCCCAGAAAUGGACAUGUCAUUGAACCUUAUCAGGGUCGGCGGUCGGUUCAGACGUUUGGCCGGUCAAGAACACCCAUCAUUGCACCCUAUAGUCCUGGAUGCCUCUCACCCUACGACACACCUACUUGUCCAGAAGUACGAUAAAGACCUACACCACCCUGGCUCAGAACGGGUCUUUGCGGAGCUGCGAAGAUCAUACUGGAUCCUUCGAGGGCGGGAACUGAUUCGAAGAUACCAACGUACGUGUCCUGACUGUCAACGCUGGCGAGCGCGGCCUUCUGUUCCUAGGAUGGCAGAUCUCCCUGUUGCCCGCCUCAGACUGCACAAGCCAGCAUUCUACUCCACAGGCGUGGAUUGUUUUGGGCCUAUGGUGGUGAAAGUUGGAAGACGACAUGAGAAACGCUGGGGGCUCAUAUUUAAAUGUAUGACGACCAGAGCUGUGCACCUGGAUCUCCUCAAUAGCCUGGAUGCUGAUGCUUACCUGAUGGCCUUGCGGAGAUUCAUUGCAAGAAGAGGAACCCCUGCAGAGGUGUGGUCAGACAGAGGGACCAACUUUAAAGCUGGAGAAAGAGAACUCCAAGAGGCCUAUAGCAGCAUGGUCCAAAGCUUGCAAAUCCAACUGGCACAGCAACAGAUCAAGUUCUGUUUCAAUCCUCCAGCGGCCCCACACUUCGGAGGAGUGUGGGAAAGGGAAAUUCGGUCGGUCAAAGCUGCCCUCUAUGCCUGCCUAGGCUCCCAACCAGUCCAAGAAGAGGUCCUACUUACCGUUCUGCUGGAAGUCGAAGCCAUCCUCAACUCAAAGCCAUUAGGCUACGUGUCCGCGGAUAUUGCAGAUCUCGACCCCAUCACUCCAAAUAGCCUACUCAUGGGGCGGCCUGAUGGAUCCCUCCCCCAAGUAGUCUACCCAGAAACAGAGAUUCUGAGCCGUAAACGAUGGAGGCACUCCCAGGUUCUUGCGGAUCAGUUUUGGUCCAGGUUCAUCAGGGAAUAUCUACCCAGUCUGCAGGUCCGCCAGAAAUGGAAUUCCUCCCCUCCUGAACUCCUGAACGAAGCAGUCGUCAUGGUGGUGGAGCCUCAAUUGCCACGCGCCCAAUGGUCUGUAGGACGCGUGGUGAAAGUUCAUCGCAGUACUGACGGGUGCAUCCGGUCAGCUGAUGUGAACAUCAAGGGACAUGUCUACACUCGACCAGUUGCCCGGCUCGUGGUGCUACCUGCUAUUCCAUCUGGGGAGGAAGAACCUCCACCGUGUUCAGGGUCAAUGGUCAGGAACGGUUAAGAUUUAUUGUAGCAAAUGUGCCUUACACAUUUGGGGGCGGCUGUAUAAAAGGCUCCCACCAUGAGUCUGUCACUUUAAGAGCCUUUUGCUCAUUUGCAUUUACGUCACGUUCCUUUUUCCCAUCGUUCCCUUUUCCCAUCGUUCCUUUUCCCUAUGUGUGGAGCUCGUGUUCGGUCGUGGUCGCGUCGGGUCCUAGUUCAGCAGCACUCAAGCGUUUGAGUGACUGAGCAGAAAAACUAAUAUUGAUGCUGUACUGAGUGCUGCAAAUAAACACCUCUGAAUCAGGACCAUCCUCCUCCUCUCUUCGACCUCCUCCGGUAUUCUAAU